GUAGGGAAUUUUCCGCAAUGGGCGAAAGCCUGACGGAGCAAUGCCGCGUGAGGGAUGAAGGCCUUCGGGUCGUAAACCUCUGUUGUUGGGGAAGAAAGGCGCGGGGUCGAACAGGCCAAGCGUCUGACGGUACCCGACGAGGAAGCCCCGGCUAAUUACGUGCCAGCAGCCGCGGUAAUACGUAAGGGGCGAGCGUUGUCCGGAUUCACUGGGCGUAAAGGGCGCGUAGGCGGUCUCGUAAGUUGAGGGUGAAAGCCCCGGGCUUAACCCGGGAAUUGCCUUCAAAACUGCGGGGCUUGAGUGCUUCAGGGGAAAGUGGAAUUCCUGGUGUAGCGGUGAAAUGCGUAGAUAUCAGGGAGAACACCGGUGGCGAAGGCGGCUUUCUGGGGAGCAACUGACGCUGAGGCGCGAAAGCUAGGGGAGCAAACAGGAUUAGAAACCCUUGUAGUCC
rnacentral:rRNA from 1 species